GUUUGCAGAGUCGAAGCAGGAAUGGGGAGCAAAAGAAACUAUCAGCGAAAAUACUGCUUCUUGGUGAUGUGUACAAAGAUUUAAUUGUGAAAAGAGAUGCUUUCAAGAAAGAAGAAAACAUCUGGAUGACCAGUAAAGGAACAGCAAGAAAAUAAAAAAAAGUCUGAAGCUGUUAAGGUUGCAAGUACUUCUCAAAGUUCAGCUAUAUUUGCAAUGGGGAAACAAGUUAAAAGAGACCUCAAGAAGCUACAAAGAAGAAAAAACAGUUCCUGUAACCUCUACUCCAUUGUCUGAUGAUUCAGAUAAUACUGAGAUUGACUUGUUUAAAAACACAGAGUUGAGAAGAUCAAGGAAGAGAAAUGCGGCAUUGGAUAGUGACAACAAACAAGAAGAUGAUGGAGACAAUGAAUUGGAGAACAGCUUUUUGCAGAGACAAUCUCCCCAGAAAACUUCUGUUGAGCUUGAUGACGAUGUAGUCAAAGCUUUGAAAGACCUUCCUGGAAUUGUAAAUUCUCUCAAAGAUGUAUUGGAGGGCAUGAGAAGAAACUCAUCUUACAGCUCAAGUUCAAGCCUGAGUUCCAGUGAAUUGUGUUCUUCUGCAUCAUCAGAAAGGAUGGUGCUUGCUGAUUCGGAUAUUACAGUGUCAAAGAGGAUGUAUGAGAGACUGAAUAAAUCAAGAGUUUCACUUUUCACCCAAGAACUGGCCACAUUCAUCUUUGGUAAAGAAACUCUUGCAAGAUGUACUCUUACAGGAAAAUCUGGCAAUGAAACCUGUAAGGACCAGUUGGACCCUCACAAGGUCAAUGUGCUCAUAGACACCGUAAAAAAACAAACAAACAAACACCACAGGGUCUCAGGUGCGAUCUGUCAUCUGCAGUAAAUGCAACAAGGCUUACU